rnacentral:rRNA from 1 species
UACGUAGGGGGCAAGCGUUGUCCGGAUUUAUUGGGCGUAAAGAGCUCGUAGGCGGUUUGGUAAGUCAGGUGUGAAAUCUCCACGCUCAACGUGGAGGGGCCACCUGAUACUGCCAUGACUGGAGUCCGGUAGAGGAGUGUGGAAUUCCACGUGUAGCAGUGAAAUGCGCAGAUAUCAGGAGGAACACCAGCGGCGAAGGCGGCGCUCUGGGCCGGUACUGACGCUGAGGAGCGAAAGCGUGGGUAGCAAACAGG